rnacentral:rRNA from 1 species
GCUUUAAGAUGUUAUCUUAAUACCUCGGGUAAGUAGAGUAGUAGUUAAAGUAAUGGUUUAACUAGCUUUAUCUCGUAGUCGAGUCUGAAAGGUCCUUCGACCACAUUGGAACUGAGACAAGUUCAAUGCGAUUUUUUUUUUGCACUGCAGUGGGGAAUAUUGGUCAAUAGCCUAACGGCUGAACCAGCGAUUUGAAGGAAUGAAGAUCUACUUUGAAAUAUAAGAAGACUAAAAUUCUGGUUAGUAAAAUGAUAAUGACAAUUUUCUAUCUAAAUGUCUUGACUAAUUCACGUGCCAGCAGUCGCGGUAAUACGUGAGAGACUAGCGUUAUUCAUAUUUAAUUGGUUUAAAGGGUUACUAGACGGUAAUUUUUGCCUUUGAAUGGGGACAGAGUUACUAGAGUUUUAUGUGAAAAGUAUAUUUAGAACUCAUGGUGUAGAACUGAUAAUUUAAAAUACUAUGGGGAAUGAUAAAGGCGAAGGCAAACUUUUAUGUAAAAACUGACGUUGAGGAACGAAGGCAAGGACAGUGAAUAGGAUUAGAACCCUAGUAACCCUAGCAGAAAAUGAUGAGUGCCAUAGGUUGUAUUAAAUUUAAAUCGCCUAUAAAUGAAAAUGUAAGCAUUCCACCUCAAGAGUAAUGUGGCAACACAGAAACUGUAACCAUUAGACCAACUCCGAAACUAGUAGUGAAGUGUGUGUUCGACGUGAAGUGAAAGUUAGCAAUGUGGUUAGAUUCCACUGGGUUAGUUCUCAACCUUAACACUAUUUACACAUUUUGGUUAGUAAUAUAAAAAAUGAAGAUGUAAAGACAAUGUAACUCAGCCUUGGAUGGCAACGUAGUAAUUUAUUCCGGAGUGCUAGUGUAAUGUAAAAUAUGGAGAGCGAAAGCAAAGGUAGCAAGGACACUCUGAAAAACUAUGAUUAUGGAAUGUAAUGGUUUUGACACACUAAGCCAUUAGAGAAACAAAAUUUCCAUCAGGGUAAAGCUAUCCUCCUAAGUUUUAUGUGAUAGUGCUAACUUUUGAACACGGUAAACCCUUAUCCUCCCUGAUAUUGCAGGAGGCGUCUUAUAUUAACAAAUGGGCGUAUCGGGGUGAGGGCAGAGGAGAAGUUAAAAAGCAAAUGCUAAAUCGUAACUGAUUUUGGAUAAAGUAAAUAUUAAAUCAAUGUAUUAAUAAUAGUCAUUCUUAAAUAAAAGAUCAAUUUUUUAGAGUCAGAGGAGGGUGGGCCUCUUAAUACCUACCCAAUAAUCAAACAAAAAACUUUGGAUACUAGCCUCUUGGUGUGUUAAGAUAGAUUUCAGAGGGCGGUUUUCGAGAACCAGGUAUAAAAAUGGUGCUGACACCUCUUUUUUUAUACUCCUGCGAAAGUAUUUUAGCGUUUAUCUUGAGGUUGAAGUCUCUGGAAUUUUUCCCCCUUGCAGAUAUGAAUAAGUAAAUAUUCUUAAGAGAUCGGUCCUUUGAUCGAGAGGAGCCUGGGUCACAAGUUCGGGCUAGAGUACUAAUUAUGAAGAAUUACCGGUAGGAGUGCAGAAGACAUGACGAUUUCAGUGAGAUCCUCUCUGUUCUUUGGCCGCCGAACCCGAGAGGUAGGCUAACUAAUAAUGCCCAUUUCUUGAAUUAGAUACUGACUGCUAAAGGUUGGACCAAAAUCCCAACUGUAUAGACAUCUCUUUAUCAUAGAGCUAGAAUAUGUUGCAAAGUGCUACGCAAGGUGAAAGUCCUUGAAUGUAUUCUUGACUUUAAUCUUAAUAAUUAGGAACUUAGGAGUUACCUGCAAUUGCGGACUUUUUCAGUGUCUUCAAUAUACUAGUCACAACAAUGAUAAAAAAUUUACAAAAAUAUAUUUUACAGGGUUACUUAUUUGGACAGCAGAACUGUUAUAUGUCUACUACAUCUAUUCAUACUUUUUCUUCUUCUUCUGUACCUAUUCUUGAUCCUUGGUUCGUGGUGGGAUUCACAGAUGGGGAGGGUUCAUUCAUUAUCACAAUCUAUAAAAAUAAGGAGUAUUUUACUGGAUGACAAAUCCAAGCAAUGUUUGAAAUACAUUUACACGCUAAAGAUUUACCUUUAUUAAAACAAAUACAAUCUUUUUUUGGCGUAGGAACUAUACGAACUAAUAAAUCUAGUAAUUCGGUUUAUUAUCGUGUAACAAACCAAAAAGAACUAAUUGAAAUAAUUUUUUUGAUAAAUAUUCUUUACUUUCACAGAAACGAGCUGAUUUUGAACUGUUCAAAUCUGUAAUUAUAUUAAUGGAAAGCCGAGAGCAUAGAACGAUGGAAGGACUUCUAAAAAUUAUUAAUAUUAAAUCGUCUAUAAAUAAAGGCUUAUCCAAUACAUUAAUUGAAUAUUUCCCGAAUGUUAUACCUGUAAAUCGCCCUAUAAUAGAAACAACAGAGAUUCCGGAUCCUGCCUGAAUAUCAGGAUUUAGUUCAGCCGAAUCUUGUUUUGAUAUUAAUCUUAUUAAAAAUAACUCUAAAUUAAACUAUCAAACUAGGCUCAGAUUUAGAAUCACUCAACAUGUUCGAGAUAGAGCUCUCCUAGGUUUAAUUAUUAAAUAUUUAAAUUGUGGAAGAUUAGAAAAUUCAAGAGAUACGGUAGUAUUUUGUGAAACCAAAUUAUUAGAUAUAUUAAACAUCGUAAUUCCGUUCUUUGAGAAAUAUCCUAUACAAGGUAUUAAAGCGUUAGAUUUUCAAAAUUUUUAUCAAGUAUCAUUAUUAAUGAAAGAUAAGGCUCAUUUAACAGCUUCAGGCUUAGAUCAAAUAAGAAAUAUUAAGAGUAAAAUGAAUACUAAUAGAGAUGAAAACGAGCUAUAAGAAAUUAUUAAAACCAUUGAAUCCAUUUUACGUUACUGGUCUGGCGGACGGUGAGGGAAGUUGAGGAUUAUCUAUAAAUAAAGAUCCAAAGCGUACUUUAGUAAAAAAAGACCGUAAACUUUUGAUCAAAAAAAACUUAUAAGAAUUGAGAACAUUAUUUAAAUAAAUAAUUAAUAGUAUCCCUUGCCUUUCUCAAUUUCUUAUCGUGCCAGCAAUAUUAAUAAUCUUGGCACAUUUUCUCAAUUAAAAACAACUUACGAGUUACGCCAGCUCUUUUAAAACAAUUGGUCGAAAAAAUAGAUUUUCUCUGACAUCUUAUGAUCAAAGGGUUAUAAAUAAAAUGAAUAAAAACAAUAAAAACAAUAAUUCACCUCCAUUAUCAGCUCCAGCAACCUCUUCACUUCCUGCGAAGCGUUCACCUGAACCUACAGUACCAGAAAAAGUACCAGAAAAAGUCUAUCCUAAUUCAGAAACAUAUAAAGCUCAAAUAUUAUUAGAAAAUAAGGGCAAGUCAGGUAUUUAUAUUUGAAAAAACUUGCUUAAUAAAAAGCAAUAUAUUGGGUCUUCAGAGAAUUUAAGAAAAAGAUUUUAUGAAUAUUUUAAUACUAAUCAUUUACUUACACAUACCUCUAUAUAUAUUUGUCGUUCUCUACUUAAACACGGUUAUGAUAACUUUUCUCUAACAAUUAUUGAGUACUGUGAACCAGAACAAUGUCUAGCAAGAGAGAAGUACUAUAUUGAUUUUUUUGGAUCAGAGUACAACACUGUUAAGGAUCCUACUAUUCCUCCAAUGUCUUUAGUAAACACUCUGAUGAAUCUAAAACAAAAACAUCUGAUGCUCUAACAGGUCAAUCAAGACCCGAAGGAGCAGGAAGACCCUUUCAAGCAAUAGAGGUUAUAGAUAAAGAUAAUAAUGAUAAUAAAACUUCUUAUAAUUCAAUUCGUGAAGCAGCAAGAGCCUUAAAUAUCUCACGAUAUAGUAUUCAAGAUUAUAUUUCCCGAAAUGCAGGAAAACCAUUUAAAAACAGAUACAUUUUCAAAAAACUAUAAUUAUUAAUGUUCUCAAUUUCUUUUUUUUGCAGCACGCGAUCACGUGCAGGUUAUGCUGAACUCCUCGUCCUCGAUUAUACACCUUUUUCUAAUUCUAACCAGGUGGUUUAAAAAGUUAAACCUAACCCAAUAAACAAAAAAUUGGCAGUUCAAUUAGUAUUUGUGGUUACUCAGCAUAUUCGUGAUAAGGAAUUAAUUGAAGGUUUAAAAUAAUACUUAGAUUGUGGAAAAUUUUCUGUUAGAAAAGGCAAUGAAGCUUGCGACUAUAAAGUUACUAGUCUUGCAGAUAUAAACGAAAAGAUCGUUCCUUUCUUUUUAAAGUUCCCUCUGACGGGGACUAAAUCCUUAAAUUUCAAGGAUUUUUUCAAAGUUGUAAAUAUAAUGAAUGAAAAAGGUCAUUUAACAGCAUCAGGAUUAAAAACAAUUGAAAAUAUAAAAGUAGGUAUGAAUACAGGAAGAUCUUCAUAAGAUGACAAACAAAACAAAAUUGAUUUAAUAUUAUUACUUGCACCGAAAGGUGGCUGACUUAACAUACGGUGGACUAAAAAAAGUCUGCUUGAGCGUAGUGUGAUGAAAGUCGCACGCUGCGUUCUGAGGGGGGGAAGAGCUGAGAAGUUUUACCUAUCCCGCCUAUUUAAUUCGAUGAUCCACGAAAAAUCUUACCACAAUUUGAAUAUUUAGUGACAAGAAAUUAAUUUAAUUUUUGUAAAAAAAAAAAAUGUUUUUUUUUACUUCUUUUUACAAGUGUUGCACGGCUGUCUACAGUUGUUGCCGCGAGGCUUUGGUUGGCUCCAACAAGUGACGUACACCCUAAUUUUAUUUAAAACUAAUUUCAUUUUAUGAAAUAAAUUAUAAAGUUAUUCAUCUUGACAUGAGAUGUAUUUAUGGGAUAAAGACAAGUCCUCAUGACCUUAAUAUUGUGGGCUGAUAAGUAUUUUGGGAAAAUACUAAAUUGGCCAAAACUAUCAAAUUCCGGAGACACCCUAAAGCUUAUGGUACCAAACUAUAGUUGAAAAACUGUAAGUGGUGUAACAAUUCAUAAGAUUUAUGAAAAUAAAAUGGGUAAUCGCGGAUCUAAGUCAGCUAAUAUGGCUGUAAAAGAGCAACGAGUAUAUGGUAGUUGAUGCAUUACACCUAUGCAUUUAAGAUGUACUCUAAUGGAUUUCAAAAGAAAUUAUCAACUCAGAAUCCCCACUAAUCAAUUAAUCAGUAGAACAUAUUCUACUCUAUCUAAUAAUCUAACGGUGAAUCCUUGGUUUUUCACAGGAUUUUCGGAUGCAGAAAGUUCUUUUAUUAUUUCUAUUUAUAGAGAUGAAAAUAAUAAGUUGAAGUGAAGAGUUUCAGCAUAUUUCUCUAUACAUAUUCACAUCAAAGAUCUACCACUAUUAGAACUAAUUCAAAAAACCUUAGGUGUAGGAAAAGUUAGAAAAAAUAGUAAAAGUACUGUUCUAUUUAGAGUUAGUAAUCUGCAAGAAUUACAAGUAAUUAUUAAUCAUUUUAAAAAAUUUCCAUUAAUUAGUGCCAAAUACUCUGAUUUUUUAUUGUUUGAACAAUGCUACAAUUUAAUUAAGCAAAAAGAACAUUUAACACAAGCAGGCCUUGAAAAGAUAUUAGCUUUUAAAUCUAAUUUAAAUAGAGGUUUACCUGAUGAUUUAAAAAGUGCUUUUCCUAAUAUUGUGCCUGUAGCUAGACCUGAAUAUAAAUUUAAUGGUAUACCAAAUCCAUUUUGAAUAUCAGGGUUUGUCUCGGGUGAUUCAACAUUUAGUGUUUCUAUAGAAAAAAGUACAAGUAAGUUAGGUAAAAGAGUAAGAUUAAUUUUUGGAACUUGUUUACACAUCAGAGAUAAAGACCUAUUAAUAGGUAUGGGAAAUUAUUUUAAGAAUUUAAACUUUAAUUUACUUAACUCAAACGAAAUUAACAAAGAAAUUUCUGUCCAUUGUACUGAAAGUAAUAAUACUUCUCUACUUCAAAUUAAAAAUAAUUUUGAUAUUGAGAAUAAAGUUAUACCUUUUUUUAAUGAGUAUCCUAUACUUGGAGUAAAAAGAUUAGAUUUUGAAGACUUUAAAAAAGUGGCAGAAUUAGUUAAAAAUAAAGAGCAUUUAAAUGUCGAAGGUUUAAAUAAAAUAAUAAAAAUAGUAGAAGGUAUGAAUUUAGAUAGAAAGUUAGAAAGUUCUAUUGAAAAAUAAAACUUAUAUGUUUUAUACAAUUGUAUGUAAAAUUUGAUUAUCCAUGAUAGACGUGCCACAUUAGCUAAAACAAAGGGAUGCUAAAAUGUGAAUAUUCGCUAAUCCCUAAACAGGAUAUAAUAUGGAUUGUAUGUCUGAAACUCGACUACAUGAAUAAGGAAUUACUAGUAAUCGUGCAUCACCAUGGCACGGUGAAACUUAUCUCGGAUAGGUACUAACUACUCGUCAAGCACUGAAAGGAGCACACGCAAUAAGUUGAGUUUAGUUUAAAUCAUAAUUUAGUAAUUAGACUAUUAAGAUGGUUUAGGAUAGAUUUUCGAAUGUAUGGCUGCAAUUGGUGUUAAGUCGAAAU